rnacentral:lncRNA from 1 species
UUUGUCUUAAUUCGUCUCAAGUUCGAUAAAAUGAGCAACCUUUAUACUUAUUGGGUGUUGAAUUUUUGUUGUGGCUCAUGAAAAUUUGAGGGAAUAGAUAAUAGAAAUUUGUUCACACUCGGGACUUAACUUAAUAUAAUAGAUAUUUAUUUAUUUUAUUUAUUUUUUAUUUUUUUUAUUUUUUUUUUAAAAAAACAAAGAAAUAACAAUGAAAGGAAACGUACAUACUUG